AGUAUCUAGGUGAAAGCUUGUACUACAUGCAGGAACACUGUUGGUGCCUGCCAUCAAUUUCCAAUGUCAAGUCACAAAGUUUUACACACUAAAGGUUUGCUGUAAGGAAGCUUAGAUAUCAUA